GAGUAUUAGUAAAAAUAUUACAUAACUUUGUCAAAGUUAAAUUACAGAAAAACUCUGUGUACUCCUA
rnacentral:tRNA from 1 species